rnacentral:tRNA from 1 species
GUCCCUGCAGCGCAGUGGAUAGCGCGUCGGACUUCUAAUCCAAAGGUCGUGCGUUCAAAUCCCACCUGGGAUG